UUUGGUUGGUUCAGUCAGUAAAGUGCUGAACUUUGAAUCUGGUGGUUGUUGGUUCAAACUCUGGUCAGGAAAAUGUGUAAAGAUGCCAGCCAUGGAGACAUGAAGGGAGCGGCUGCUGAUCCUGAUCAUCUGAGACAGCCCGGCCUGUAAACCGACCCGAUAAGCUUCUGAUGGAGUUUGAGUCGGAACGCAGAGAAACUUGGACCAGAUCUUCACGACUCCUUCAGUUACUGAAACAUCAUCCUCAUCAUGUGAUGUCAUUAAAAGUCCAUCACAGCAGAACCUGGUUGCAUGUCUCAUCCCUACACACACACACACACACACCCACACACACACACCUACUCAAGAUUAAGUUAUUCAUGUGUCAAAGCUUCUGCAUAUUUUACAUAUGUUCUACAUGGUGUCACACACACACCUGCUGCCAUGAAAUACCCACAGUCUCUCUCUCUCACACACCUAGACACACACACCCUCACACACACACAGUAUGUCUUUCUAUUUUCACUGGCACUUUGCAUUGACCUCUAUUAAUUUCUACUGUCUGACCUUCACACUGUAAAAACUAAAUCUCAUUACAGUAUUAAGUAUUUUUGUUCUAGUUUCUAGUCUGAAUAUCUUCGUACAUUUGAAUUGAGACAAAACUUACUUACAAUAACAGAAGUUCAUUUUAAGUUAAUUAUUUUUCAUUUAAUUUAUACAUUUUCACAUAAUUAUGAAAAAGUUGC